UACGAAGGGUGCAAGCGUUACUCGGAAUUACUGGGCGUAAAGAGCGCGCAGGCGGUCGAUCAAGUCGAGUGUGAAAGCCCCCGGCUCAACUGGGGAGGGUCAUUCGAAACUGAUCGACUUGAAGGCAGGAGAGGGUAGUGGAAUUCCCGGUGUAGUGGUGAAAUGCGUAGAUAUCGGGAGGAACACCAGUGGCGAAGGCGACUACCUGGCCUGUUCUUGACGCUGAGGCGCGAAAGCUAGGGGAGCAAACGGG
rnacentral:rRNA from 1 species